rnacentral:rRNA from 1 species
AUAUCAAUAAGCGGAGGAAAAGAAACCAACCGGGAUUGCCUCAGUAACGGCGAGUGAAGCGGCAACAGCUCAAAUUUGAAAUCAGCCAUAAGGCCGAGUUGUAAUUUGCAGAGGAUGCUUCGGAUUCUGCUCCGACCUAAGUCUUUUGGAACAAGGCGUCAAGGAGGGUGAAAAUCCCGUAUUUUCGGACUCUAGUCUCCAUGUGAAGCUCCUUCGAAGAGUCGAGUUGAAAGGGAAUGCAGCUCUAAAGGGGAGGUAAAUUUCUCCCAAAGCUAAAUAUCUGCUAGAGACCGAUAGCGCACAAGUAGAGUGAUCGAAAGAUGAAAAGCACUUUGAAAAGAGAGUUAAACAGCACGUGAAAUGGUUAAAACCCAAGCUUAUGCAGCCAGAUAUGAUUCAAAGGCUCAGCCUUAUGGUGUAUUCUUUUGAAUCAGGUCAGCAUCAGUCUAGGCAGCUGGAUAAAAGUUUCGGGAAUGUAGCUCUUCGGAGUGUUAUAGCCCGAUCCAACAUGCAGCUAGUUCAGUCUGAGGUCCGCUUACAGGAUGCUGACGUAAUGGUGGCAUGAGGCCCGUCUUGAAACACGGACCAAGGAGUCUACUAUUUAUGCGAGUGUUUGGGUGACAAACCCAUCCACGUAAUGAAAGUGAACGUUGGUAGGAGCUUCGGCGCACUAUCGACCGGUCUUGAAGUCUUCGGAUGGAUCUGAGUAAGAGCAUAAAUAGCAGGACCCGAAAGAUGGUGAACUAUGCGUGAAUAGGGUGAAGUCAGAGGAAACUCUGAUGGAAGCUCGUACCCGUUCUGACGUGCAAAUCGAUCUCAUAAUUUGCGCAUAGGGGCGAAGUAAGUUUGAAUAAAAAUGGCUUUGGGAUGCAGUGAUGCUAAUGAAUCUCUCACAGAGACUAAUCGAACCAUCUAGUAGUAAGUUUAACUUGUGCUAUUUAAAUUUUUGGGUUUAAAAUGCUAAUUAAACCUAGGCUGGUUCUUGCCGAAGUUUCGUAAGUUUUCUGCGUUAACCGCAUUGAAAUGAAACAAAACUAACAGCCAAAUAGCCUCAGGAUAGCAGUAACGCCUUCAGUUUUAUGAGGUAAAGCGAAUGAUUAGAGGCCUUGGGGUUGAAACAACCUUAACCUAUUCUCAAACUUUAAAUAUGUAAGAAGUCCUUGUUACUUAGUUGAACGUGGACACUCGAAUGCAACGUUACUAGUGGGCCAUUUUU